CAGCCUGCCAGUGACUAAGUUCAACGGCCGCGGUAUCCUAACCGUGCGAAGGUAGCGUAAUCACUUGUUCUUUAAAUGAGGACUAGUAUGAAUGGCACCACGAAGGUUAUGCUGUCUCCUUUUUCUAAUCAAUGAAACUGAUCUCCCCGUGAAGAAGCGGGGAUACAACUAUAAGACGAGAAGACCCUAUGGAGCUUUAAACCAUGUAACACUGGCUCAUACAUUAAAAUAUUCCAGAAUUUCUCAUAAUUACUCUAGCCACCAUGAUUACUAGUUUUAGGUUGGGGUGACCACGGAGCAAAAAUUAACCUCCAUGUUAAACGGAGCUACUCCUGAGCCAUAAGCCACGACUUUAAGCACUAAUAAAUUAAUAUUAAUUGACCCAAUAUUUUUGAUCAACGAACCAAGUUACCCUAGGGAUAACAGCGCA
rnacentral:rRNA from 1 species